UUAAGUUAUUAAGGGCGCACGGUGGAUGCCUUGGCACUAGAAGCCGAUGAAGGACGUUACUAACGACGAUAUGCUUUGGGGAGCUGUAAGUAAGCUUUGAUCCAGAGAUUUCCGAAUGGGGAAACCCAGCAUGAGUUAUGUCAUGUUAUCGAUAUGUGAAUACAUAGCAUAUCAGAAGGCACACCCGGAGAACUGAAACAUCUUAGUACCCGGAGGAAGAGAAAGAAAAUUCGAUUCCCUUAGUAGCGGCGAGCGAAACGGGAAGAGCCCAAACCAACAAGCUUGCUUGUUGGGGUUGUAGGACACUCUAUACGGAGUUACAAAGGACGACAUUAGACGAAUCAUCUGGAAAGAUGAAUCAAAGAAGGUAAUAAUCCUGUAGUCGAAAAUGUUGUCUCUCUUGAGUGGAUCCUGAGUACGACGGAGCACGUGAAAUUCCGUCGGAAUCUGGGAGGACCAUCUCCUAAGGCUAAAUACUCUCUAGUGACCGAUAGUGAACCAGUACCGUGAGGGAAAGGUGAAAAGCACCCCGGAAGGGGAGUGAAAUAGAACCUGAAACCGUGUGCUUACAAGUAGUCAGAGCCCGUUAAUGGGUGAUGGCGUGCCUUUUGUAGAAUGAACCGGCGAGUUACGAUUUGAUGCAAGGUUAAGCAGUAAAUGUGGAGCCGUAGCGAAAGCGAGUCUGAAUAGGGCGUUUAGUAUUUGGUCGUAGACCCGAAACCAGGUGAUCUACCCUUGGUCAGGUUGAAGUUCAGGUAACACUGAAUGGAGGACCGAACCGACUUACGUUGAAAAGUGAGCGGAUGAACUGAGGGUAGCGGAGAAAUUCCAAUCGAACCUGGAGAUAGCUGGUUCUCUCCGAAAUAGCUUUAGGGCUAGCCUCAAGUGAUGAUUAUUGGAGGUAGAGCACUGUUUGGACGAGGGGCCCCUCUCGGGUUACCGAAUUCAGACAAACUCCGAAUGCCAAUUAAUUUAACUUGGGAGUCAGAACAUGGGUGAUAAGGUCCGUGUUCGAAAGGGAAACAGCCCAGACCACCAGCUAAGGUCCCAAAAUAUAUGUUAAGUGGAAAAGGAUGUGGCGUUGCCCAGACAACUAGGAUGUUGGCUUAGAAGCAGCCAUCAUUUAAAGAGUGCGUAAUAGCUCACUAGUCGAGUGACACUGCGCCGAAAAUGUACCGGGGCUAAACAUAUUACCGAAGCUGUGGAUUGUCCUUUGGACAAUGGUAGGAGAGCGUUCUAAGGGCGUUGAAGCAUGAUUGUAAGGACAUGUGGAGCGCUUAGAAGUGAGAAUGCCGGUGUGAGUAGCGAAAGACGGGUGAGAAUCCCGUCCACCGAUUGACUAAGGUUUCCAGAGGAAGGCUCGUCCGCUCUGGGUUAGUCGGGUCCUAAGCUGAGGCCGACAGGCGUAGGCGAUGGAUAACAGGUUGAUAUUCCUGUACCACCUAUAAUCGUUUUAAUCGAUGGGGGGACGCAGUAGGAUAGGCGAAGCGUGCGAUUGGAUUGCACGUCUAAGCAGUAAGGCUGAGUAUUAGGCAAAUCCGGUACUCGUUAAGGCUGAGCUGUGAUGGGGAGAAGACAUUGAGUCUUCGAGUCGUUGAUUUCACACUGCCGAGAAAAGCCUCUAGAUAGAAAAUAGGUGCCCGUACCGCAAACCGACACAGGUAGUCAAGAUGAGAAUUCUAAGGUGAGCGAGCGAACUCUCGUUAAGGAACUCGGCAAAAUGACCCCGUAACUUCGGGAGAAGGGGUGCUCUUUAGGGUUAACGCCCAGAAGAGCCGCAGUGAAUAGGCCCAAGCGACUGUUUAUCAAAAACACAGGUCUCUGCUAAACCGUAAGGUGAUGUAUAGGGGCUGACGCCUGCCCGGUGCUGGAAGGUUAAGAGGAGUGGUUAGCUUCUGCGAAGCUACGAAUCGAAGCCCCAGUAAACGGCGGCCGUAACUAUAACGGUCCUAAGGUAGCGAAAUUCCUUGUCGGGUAAGUUCCGACCCGCACGAAAGGCGUAACGAUUUGGGCACUGUCUCAACGAGAGACUCGGUGAAAUCAUAGUACCUGUGAAGAUGCAGGUUACCCGCGACAGGACGGAAAGACCCCGUGGAGCUUUACUGUAGCCUGAUAUUGAAAUUCGGCACAGCUUGUACAGGAUAGGUAGGAGCCUUUGAAACGUGAGCGCUAGCUUACGUGGAGGCGCUGGUGGGAUACUACCCUAGCUGUGUUGGCUUUCUAACCCGCACCACUUAUCGUGGUGGGAGACAGUGUCAGGCGGGCAGUUUGACUGGGGCGGUCGCCUCCUAAAAGGUAACGGAGGCGCUCAAAGGUUCCCUCAGAAUGGUUGGAAAUCAUUCAUAGAGUGUAAAGGCAUAAGGGAGCUUGACUGCGAGACCUACAAGUCGAGCAGGGUCGAAAGACGGACUUAGUGAUCCGGUGGUUCCGCAUGGAAGGGCCAUCGCUCAACGGAUAAAAGCUACCCCGGGGAUAACAGGCUUAUCUCCCCCAAGAGUUCACAUCGACGGGGAGGUUUGGCACCUCGAUGUCGGCUCAUCGCAUCCUGGGGCUGUAGUCGGUCCCAAGGGUUGGGCUGUUCGCCCAUUAAAGCGGUACGCGAGCUGGGUUCAGAACGUCGUGAGACAGUUCGGUCCCUAUCCGUCGUGGGCGUAGGAAAUUUGAGAGGAGCUGUCCUUAGUACGAGAGGACCGGGAUGGACAUACCUCUGGUGUACCAGUUGUCGUGCCAACGGCAUAGCUGGGUAGCUAUGUGUGGACGGGAUAAGUGCUGAAAGCAUCUAAGCAUGAAGCCCCCCUCAAGAUGAGAUUUCCCAACUUCGGUUAUAAGAUCCCUCAAAGAUGAUGAGGUUAAUAGGUUCGAGGUGGAAGCAUGGUGACAUGUGGAGCUGACGAAUACUAAUCGAUCGAAGACUUAAUCAA
rnacentral:rRNA from 2 species